rnacentral:rRNA from 1 species
GACAGAGGGUGCAAACGUUUGUUCGGAAUUACUGGGCGUAAAGCGUGUGUAGGCGGCCUCGCAAGUCCGGUGUGAAAGUCACAGGCUCAACCUGUGAAUGCCGCUGGAAACUGUCUGGCUAGAGUCCGGAAGGGGCGAGUGGAAUUCCUGGUGUAGCGGUGAAAUGCGCAGAUAUCAGGAGGAACACCUAUGGCGAAGGCAGCUCGCUGGGACGGUACUGACGCUGAGGCGCGAAAGCGUGGGGAGCGAACAGG